GUCCCUGUAGCUUACAACAAAGCAUGGCACUGAAGAUGCCAAGAUGGCUGCCACACAACACCCAAGGACA
rnacentral:tRNA from 1 species